AACAACUCAGAGAGACUCAGAGGCUGCAGUCUGAACAUACACAGACAGAAAUCAAACAACUACACACUCAACUCCGAGACAAGAACAGAGACUGCAACAUACUGCUUGCUGUGGUACAGGAGCGAGGUUUCAUGGAUGAGUAUAAGAGGAUGAGAAAGGCGGCGAUCUACACGUCAAAAGCCCUGCUGGAAAACCAACAGACACACAAACCCAAACCCAAACACAGACUGUCCCAGCACAGUCCAGGUGGUGAUGGACUACAGGUGGAGCAAAUGGACAGAGGAGUGUCUGAACAGCCAAGUCUGUGUAAAGACUCUUUGCUGAAUGUUUUGGGUGAACUGCAGUCUCUGAGUGCUGCUGUGAUUGACAGUUCUGAUUCUACUGAGGAAGAUGAAGGUGCUCAGGGCGACAGUCUUC